CCUACGGGGGGCAGCAGUGAGGAAUAUUGGUCAAUGGCCGCAGGGCUGAACCAGCCAAGUCGCGUGAGGGAUGACGGUCCUAUGGAUUGUAAACCUCUUUUGUCAGGGAGCAAAGGGCGCCACGUGUGGCGCUUUGCGAGUACCUGAAGAAAAAGCAUCGGCUAACUCCGUGCCAGCAGCCGCGGUAAUACGGAGGAUGCGAGCGUUAUCCGGAUUUAUUGGGUUUAAAGGGUGCGUAGGCGGAAUGUCAAGUCAGCGGUAAAAUUUCGGGGCUCAACCCCGUCGUGCAGUUGAAACUGGCGUUCUUGAGUGAACGAGAGGUAUGCGGAAUGCGUGGUGUAGCGGUGAAAUGCAGAGAUAUCACGCAGAACUCCGAUUGCGAAGGCAGCAUACCGGCGCUCAACUGACGCUCAUGCACGAAAGCGUGGGUAUCGAACAGGAUUAGAUACCCGUGUAGUC
rnacentral:rRNA from 1 species